rnacentral:rRNA from 1 species
GAUGAACGCUGGCGGCGUGCCUAAUACAUGCAAGUCGAGCGAACGGACGAGAAGCUUGCUUCUCUGAUGUUAGCGGCGGACGGGUGAGUAACACGUGGAUAACCUACCUAUAAGACUGGGAUAACUUCGGGAAACCGGAGCUAAUACCGGAUAAUAUUUUGAACCGCAUGGUUCAAAAGUUAAAGACGGUCUUGCUGUCACUUAUAGAUGGAUCCGCGCUGCAUUAGCUAGUUGGUAAGGUAACGGCUUACCAAGGCAACGAUGCAUAGCCGACCUGAGAGGGUGAUCAGCCACACUGGAACUGAGACACGGUCCAGACUCCUACGGGAGGCAGCAGUAGGGAAUCUUGCGCAAUGGGCGAAAGCCUGACGGAGCAACGCCGCGUGAGUGAUGAAGGUCUUCGGAUCGUAAAACUCUGUUAUGAGGGAAGAACAUAUGUGUAAGUAACUGUGCACAUCUUGACGGUACCUAAUCAGAAAGCCACGGCUAACUACGUG